GAUGAACGCUGGCGGCAGGCCUAACACAUGCAAGUCGAACGGAUCCUUCGGGAUUAGUGGCGGACGGGUGAGUAACGCGUGGGAACAUACCCAAAGGUACGGAAUAGCCUCGGGAAACUGGGAGUAAUACCGUAUGUGCUCGAAAGAGGAAAGAUUUAUCGCCUUUGGAUUGGCCCGCGUUGGAUUAGGUAGUUGGUGGGGUAAUGGCCUACCAAGCCGACGAUCCAUAGCUGGUUUGAGAGGAUGAUCAGCCACACUGGGACUGAGACACGGCCCAGACUCUUACGGGAGGCAGCAGUGGGGAAUCUUAGACAAUGGGGGAAACCCUGAUCUAGCCAUGCCGCGUGAUCGAUGAGGGCCUUAGGGUUGUAAAGAUCUUUCAGGUGGGAAGAUAAUGACUGUACCACCAGAAGAAGCCCCGGCUAACUCCGUGCCAGCAGCCGCCGUAA
rnacentral:rRNA from 1 species